rnacentral:rRNA from 1 species
CCUACGGGUGGCAGCAGUGAGGAAUAUUGGUCAAUGGGCGUACGCCUGAACCAGCCAAGUCGCGUGAGGGAAGACUGCCCUAUGGGUUGUAAACCUCGUUUGUCAGGGAGCAACGCCGGCUACGUGUAGCCGGACGGAGAGUACCUGAAGAAAAAGCAGCGGCGAACUCCGGGCCAGCAGCCGCGGGAAUACGGAGGAUGCGAGCGUGAGCCGGAUUUAUUGGGUUUAAAGGGUGCGUAGGAGGAAUGCCAAGUCAGCGGUAAACGCGCGGGGCUCAACCUCGCUCCGCCGUUGAAACGGGCGUUCUUGAGUGCGCGAGAAGUAUGCGGACUGCCUGUUGUAGCGGU